rnacentral:tRNA from 1 species
GGCAGGGUGGUGCAGUGGGUAGCACUGUCGCGUCACAGCAAGGCGGUCCUGGGUUCGAAUCCAGCCUGGGCA